rnacentral:rRNA from 1 species
AGCGAACGCUGGCGGCGUGCCUAACACAUGCAAGUCGAACGUGAAAAGGGAAACCUGAGUAAAGUGGCGUACGGGUGAGUAACGCGUAGGUAAUCUACCCCAGAAUCUGGAAUAACCUGCCGAAAGGCGGGCUAAUACUGGAUAGAGCGAGGGAACUCGUAAGAGAGUUUUUCGGGAAAGGGAGCCCGCAAGGGCCUUUGUUCUGGGAUGAGCCUGCGUCUCAUUAGCUAGUUGGUAAGGUAACGGCUUACCAAGGCGAUGAUGAGUAGCUGGUCUGAGAGGAUGAUCAGCCACACUGGAACUGAAACACGGUCCAGACUCCUACGGGAGGCAGCAGUGGGGAAUCUUGCGCAAUGGACGAAAGUCUGACGCAGCCACGCCGCGUGAGUGAAGAAGGCCUUCGGGUUGUAAAGCUCUGUCGGAUGGGACGAACAUCUUCAUAGUGAAUAGCUAUGAGGACUGACGGUACCAUCAAAGGAAGCACCGGCUAACUCCGUG